rfam:Canis lupus familiaris chromosome 31, whole genome shotgun sequence.
GGGGGGAGGCCGGAUCCUGGGCUGUGUCCCGGCGCCCUGUGCCCCGGUCUGUGCUGUUGGAUUCGCACUCCCGCCCCGCAGCCCCCU